GGAACGGGCUGCAGUGGGUGCUAUCUUAUUCUUGUUGGCUUUUCUCUACGGUUUUUGGCGCUUGGGCAUUCACUUUCCCAUGCCUUCACCUGACAGAGGAUUUUUCACCAUAACUCAGCUGGUUAGUAGGAUUGGUGUGAUUGGUGUGACUGUCAUGGCUAUCCUUUCUGGUUUCGGAGCAGUCAAUUUGCCAUACAGUUAUC
rnacentral:misc_RNA from 1 species